UACGGAGGGUGCAAGCGUUAAUCGGAAUUACUGGGCGUAAAGCGCACGCAGGUGGCUGAGCGAGUCGAUUGUGAAAGCCCUGGGCUUAACCUGGGAAUUGCAGUCGAUACUACUCAGCUAGAGUAUGGGAGAGGGUAGUGGAAUUCCUAGUGUAGAGGUGAAAUUCGUAGAUAUUAGGAAGAACACCGGUGGCGAAGGCGGCUCUCUGGGCCUUACCUGACGCUGAGGAGCGAAAGCGUGGGUAGCGAACAGG
rnacentral:rRNA from 1 species